rnacentral:rRNA from 1 species
UACAGAGGUCUCAAGCGUUUGUUCGGAUUCAUUGGGCGUAAAGGGUGUGUAGGUGGCGCGCUAAGUCGGGUGUGAAAUUUCGGAGCUUAACUCCGAAACUGCAUUCGAUACUGGCGUGCUUGAGGACUGGAGAGGAGACUGGAAUUCAUGGUGUAGCAGUGAAAUGCGUAGAGAUCAUGAGGAAGACCAGUGGCGAAGGCGGGUCUCUGGACAGUUCCUGACACUGGAGACACGAAGGCCAGGGGAGCAAACGGG